rnacentral:rRNA from 1 species
AGCGAACGCUGGCGGCAGGCUUAACACAUGCCAGUCGAGCGGGCCCUUCGGGGUCAGCGGCGGACGGGUGAGUAACGCGUGGGAACGUGCCUUCUGGUUCGGAAUAACUCAGGGAAACUUGAGCUAAUACCGGAUACGCCCUUUUGGGGAAAGGUUUACUGCCGGAAGAUCGGCCCGCGUCUGAUUAGCUAGUUGGUGGGGUAACGGCCUACCAAGGCGACGAUCAGUAGCUGGUCUGAGAGGAUGAUCAGCCACACUGGGACUGAGACACGGCCCAGACUCCUACGGGAGGCAGCAGUGGGGAAUAUUGGACAAUGGGCGCAAGCCUGAUCCAGCCAUGCCGCGUGAGUGAUGAAGGCCUUAGGGUUGUAAAGCUCUUUUAUCCGGGACGAUAAUGACGGUACCGGAGGAAUAAGCCCCGGCUAACUUCGUG